CUAAGUCAAUGCUAAAGCUAACAAGCUAACUAGGAUGAAUUUUCUGGUUAAUCGACAAAAGGAUAAAGUUUGUGAAACCUCCAGAAAUACAGGAUGAGGGCACUGGGAUGAUGCGCUAGCCCACCACCACUGAGAUCUUGAGCUGGUGGACUGGGAUCCUUGUCACUGCUGCCUCUUCUGGCCGGUCGAACCGCCUACAUGAGAGCCCAGAGUGUUACAAAAACAAAGUAGCAAAUUAAAGACAUGUUACAUCAGUACAUCCUGCAAUGGAGAAAGUGGAUAGCAAAGGGAUAGUGCAGAAAUGAGAACUGGAUGUCGUCUGUGAGAAGAUCAGUUCCUGGAAACACAUCAGUAGUAGCAGGCAGAAGCUACUAACUGCAGCUAGAAGGAUCACGACCCUAAUGUACAAUAUCCACUCUGAACUGUUUACUGUCAAACCUGUGAUUGUCACAGCAAAUCUGUGAUUCACCCCCUGCCUCCGCUCAUCAGGGACCACUCAUUCAAUCUGAUCGGUGUUAAUCUCUGAACAAACACUUCUAAACAAACAAAACUGAUGUAAAAUGCAAUAAAAACAAGA